rnacentral:tRNA from 1 species
GGGAGGGUAGUCUAGCUUGGUAUGAUUCUAGGCUGGGGGCUUAGAGGUCGCGGGUUCGAAUCCCGUCUCUCCCA